GGACGGAGGGAGGGCGCCGGGGGAGGAAGCGCCGCGGCCGCUCGUAAGUGCUCCGGGUGGAAACUGGUGCAGGGGGCACCGGCGUUCCGCGGCCGAAAGGGAAGGGGGAGGUGCCGAGGCUGCGCGCCGGCUGCUCCUCCCCACCCCCAGCCUCUGCCCUGAAGGGGGCUGGAUGGGCAAGUCGGCCGCGAUGGCUCGAGCUGGGGCGGUGGCGGCGGUGGCCGGAGGCGGCGGUGCCUCCUCCUCCUCGCCCCGGCGCCGGCGGUGAUCCGAGCGAGCGGCCGCGGCCCCCGAUGAGACUGCUGGCGGGCUGGCUGUGCCUGAGCCUGGCGUCCGUGUGGCUGGCGCGGAGGAUGUGGACGCUGCGGAGCCCGCUCACCCGCUCCCUGUACGUGAACAUGACGAGCGGCCCGGGCGGGCCGGCGGCGGCCGCGGGCGGCAGGAAGGAGAACCACCAGUGGUAUGUGUGCAACAGAGAGAAAUUAUGCGAAUCACUCCAGGCUGUCUUUGUUCAGAGUUACCUUGAUCAAGGAACACAGAUCUUCUUAAACAACAGCAUUGAGAAAUCGGGCUGGCUAUUUAUCCAAUUAUAUCAUUCUUUUGUGUCGUCUGUUUUUAGCCUGUUUAUGUCUAGAACAUCUAUCAAUGGGUUGCUAGGAAGAGGCUCAAUGUUUGUGUUUUCACCAGAUCAGUUUCAGAGACUGCUUAAAAUUAAUCCAGACUGGAAAACCCACAGACUUCUUGAUUUAGGUGCUGGAGAUGGAGAAGUCACAAAAAUCAUGAGCCCUCAUUUUGAAGAAAUCUAUGCCACUGAGCUUUCUGAAACUAUGAUAUGGCAGCUUCAGAAAAAGAAAUACAGAGUCCUUGGUAUAAAUGAAUGGCAGAAUACAGGGUUCCAGUAUGAUGUCAUCAGCUGCCUGAACUUGCUGGACCGCUGUGAUCAGCCCCUGACUUUGUUAAAAGAUAUCAGAAGUGUCUUGGAGCCAACUAGAGGCAGGGUCAUCCUUGCCCUGGUCCUCCCCUUUCAUCCCUAUGUGGAAAACGUAGGUGGCAAGUGGGAGAAACCAUCAGAAAUUUUGGAAAUCAAGGGACAGAACUGGGAAGAACAAGUGAAUAGUCUGCCUGAAGUUUUCAGAAAAGCCGGUUUUGUUAUUGAAGCUUUCACCAGACUGCCAUACCUGUGUGAAGGCGACAUGUAUAAUGACUACUACGUUCUGGAUGAUGCUGUCUUUGUUCUCAAACCAGUAUAAACAUGUGGAGGUCGAAGUCUUCAGAGUCCGCGCCCUCCGGGAUGUGCCCUUGGAAGAGAGUCUGUGUUCACAAUUACGUGAAGGGAGGACCCUUGGGGACCACCAUUCUAAAUAUCAUGUAGGAAUUUAAAAAGCCAAAAUACUAAUUAUUUCUUUGUAGUGUGUAAAGGAAUGUUUUUAAAAGACAAAAACCCAACUCUUUGUGGAUUUUUAUCAACUCUUUACUCAGAGCCACUCUCCAAUGCAGGUCACACUCCAAUUAUGAUGGAAGAUAUUUUUUAUACUUAAUUGCAGUAGGGACUCAUUCCCAGACAAAGCAAUAGUCACGACUUCAUGGAACCAAUCAAUGGAUUGUUUUUUGAAGACUGGCAAUAAAGCUGUCCAUUCAAUUCCAAAUACUGAUUUUAAGGUGUUUCAUUAAGUAUUCUCAUUUAUGUGCUCAUAGAAGUCAUCAGAUCAACACAUUCACUCCAACACCUGGGUAUAAAGGCGAAUUAAAACCUGAAGAAUUACUUUAUUAUUCAUUAAGAACUGCAUUCCCACAUCCUCACACCAAUAUCUUCCACUGUUAUUGUGCAGUCAUAAUAAGAGUUGGGUUAUGUGAUUUAUGCAAAAUUGUUAUUGGUGUGUUCUAAUGAUUUUUUUCCAGGAAUUCAAGUAAGUGAAGUACAAAUACUUAGCACCAUAGAUUGUAAAAAUAGAAAGAGGAAAUGAGAAAACUUAAUGUCGUUCUUGUACAGUUGAGUUUUGCUUCUUUAUAAACUGUCUGUCAAAAUCAGGGGUUGCUGUUAGACUGUCAAGCAGAAGUGAUGGAUGUUCAAAGAGGCAGGUUGCCCCAAAGUGUUUUCUAACUUUCAAGUAGAGAAUUUUAUGGUCUAAUAAGAAAAAUACAACUCAUUCUUAACCACCCCCCAAAACAGAGAAAACACAUACAUUUAUGCAUUUUAAAGAUAAAAAGUACUUUCUCAAAAAAAUCGGAAGUUCUCUGAAAACCAGCUUAUUAAAAGUGCUGUUUUGUGGUGAAAAUUCAAACCAAAUCCACUCACAUUUCCUAUCGGGUCUUGAAAUUCUCGGUGGUGUGUCACCAUUCCACUAGAUGGCAGUGUUGCUUACUGAGUGUCAAUGGCUUUUUUCCCCGUAAAUGGAAUCAUGUUUUUCUCCCCCAAAGUACAAUAAAGCUGCCUUGUCUGCACCA